GACGAACGCUGGCGGCGUGCUUAACACAUGCAAGUCGAACGGUGAACCAGAGCUUGCUCUGGGGAUCAGUGGCGAACGGGUGAGUAACACGUGGGCAACCUGCCCCAGACUCUGGGAUAACCUCGGGAAACCGAUGCUAAUACCGGAUACGACCACUUCGGACAUCCGACGGUGGUGGAAAGUUUUUCGGUCUGGGAUGGGCCCGCGGCCUAUCAGCUAGUUGGUGGGGUAAUGGCCUACCAAGGCGACGACGGGUAGCCGGCCUGAGAGGGCGACCGGCCACACUGGAACUGAGACACGGUCCAGACUCCUACGGGAGGCAGCAGUGGGGAAUAUUGCACAAUGGGCGAAAGCCUGAUGCAGCGACGCCGCGUGAGGGACGACGGCCUCGGUUGUAAACCGUACUUCUAGCAGGACGAAGCGAAAGUAGACUGUACCUGCGAAGAAGCACCGGCUAACUACGUGCACGCAGCCGCGGUAAAGUCAACGUCG
rnacentral:rRNA from 1 species